GAUGAACGCUGGCGGCGUGCCUAAUACAUGCAAGUCGAGCGAACAGAUAAGGAGCUUGCUCCUUUGACGUUAGCGGCGGACGGGUGAGUAACACGUGGGUAACCUACCUAUAAGACUGGAAUAACUCCGGGAAACCGGGGCUAAUGCAGGAUAACAUGUUGAACCGCAUGGUUCUACAGUGAAAGGCGGCUUUGCUGUCACUUAUAGAUGGACCCGCGCCGUAUUAGCUAGUUGGUGAGGUAACGGCUCACCAAGGCAACGAUACGUAGCCGACCUGAGAGGGUGAUCGGCCACACUGGAACUGAGACACGGUCCAGACUCCUACGGGAGGCAGCAGUAGGGAAUCUUCCGCAAUGGGCGAAAGCCUGACGGAGCAACGCCGCGUGAGUGAUGAAGGUCUUCGGAUCGUAAAACUCUGUUAUUAGGGAAGAACAAAUGCGUAAGUAACUGUGCGCGUCUUGACGGUACCUAAUCAGAAAGCCACGGCUAACUACG
rnacentral:rRNA from 1 species